UACGUGCCAGCAGCCGCGGUAAUACGGAAGGUCCAGGCGUUAUCCGGAUUUAUUGGGUUUAAAGGGAGUGUAGGCGGUCUGUUAAGCGUGUUGUGAAAUUUAGGUGCUCAACAUCUACCUUGCAGCGCGAACUGGCGGACUUGAGUGCACGCAACGUAUGCGGAAUUCAUGGUGUAGCGGUGAAAUGCUUAGAUAUCAUGACGAACUCCGAUUGCGAAGGCAGCGUACGGGAGUGUUACUGACGCUUAAGCUCGAAGGUGCGGGUAUCGAACAGGAUUAGAUACCCUGGUAGUCCGCACGGUAAACGAUGGAUGCCCGCUGUUAGCGCCUGGCGUUAGCGGCUAAGCGAAAGCAUUAAGCAUCCCACCUGGGGAGUACGCCGGCAACGGUGAAACUCAAAGGAAUUGACGGGGGCCCGCACAAGCGGAGGAACAUGUGGUUUAAUUCGAUGAUACGCGAGGAACCUUACCCGGGCCUGAAUUGCAGACGCAGGAUACAGAGAUGUUGA
rnacentral:rRNA from 1 species